ACGGGAGGCAGCAGUGGGGAAUAUUGGGCAAUGGGCGAAAGCCUGACCCAGCAACGCCGCGUGAAGGAAGAAGGUCUUCGGAUUGUAAACUUCUUUUAUGAGGGACGAAGGACGUGACGGUACCUCAUGAAUAAGCCACGGCUAACUACGUGCCAGCAGCCGCGGUAAUACGUAGGGAGCGAGCGUUGUCCGGAUUUACUGGGUGUAAAGGGUGCGUAGGCGGGCUUGCAAGUCAGGCGUGAAAUACCGGGGCUUAACUCCGGGGCUGCGCUUGAAACUGUAAGUCUUGAGUGAAGUAGAGGCAGGCGGAAUUCCCAGUGUAGCGGUGAAAUGCGUAGAUAUUGGGAGGAACACCAGUGGCGAAGGCGGCCUGCUGGGCUUUAACUGACGCUGAGGCACGAAAGUAUGGGGAGCAAACAGGAUUAGAUACCCUGGUA
rnacentral:rRNA from 1 species